rnacentral:rRNA from 1 species
GACGUAGGGCGCGAGCGUUGUCCGGAUUUACUGGGCGUAAAGGGCGCGUAGGCGGUCGUGACAAGUCACUUGUGAAAUCUCCGGGCUUAACUCGGAACGGUCAAGUGAUACUGUCGGACUAGAGUACAGAAGGGGCAACUGGAAUUCUCGGUGUAGCGGUGAAAUGCGUAGAUAUCGAGAGGAACACCUGCGGCGAAGGCGGGUUGCUGGGCUGAUACUGACGCUGAGGCGCGAAAGCCAGGGGAGCGAACGGG